rnacentral:rRNA from 1 species
UGGGGAAUAUUGGACAAUGGGCGAAAGCCUGAUCCAGCCAUGCCGCGUGUGUGAAGAAGGUCUUCGGAUUGUAAAGCACUUUAAGUUGGGAGGAAGGGUUGUAGAUUAAUACUCUGCAAUUUUGACGUUACCGACAGAAUAAGCACCGGCUAACUCUGUGCCAGCAGCCGCGGUAAUACAGAGGGUGCAAGCGUUAAUCGGAAUUACUGGGCGUAAAGCGCGCGUAGGUGGUUAGUUAAGUUGGAUGUGAAAUCCCCGGGCUCAACCUGGGAACUGCAUUCAAAACUGACUGACUAGAGUAUGGUAGAGGGUGGUGGAAUUUCCUGUGUAGCGGUGAAAUGCGUAGAUAUAGGAAGGAACACCAGUGGCGAAGGCGACCACCUGGACUGAUACUGACACUGAGGUGCGAAAGCGUGGGGAGCAAACAGGAUUAGAUACCCCUGUAGUCCCUGAGCGGGCUGGCAAGGCGCAU